CGCUGGCGGCGGGCCUCAUACAUGCAAGUCGAGCGCGAAAGUCCGCAAGGAUGAGUAAAGCGGCGCACGGGUGAGUAACACGUGGAUAAUCUACCCUUUGGAUUGGAAUAACCUGUCGAAAGACGGGCUAAUGCCGAGUACGCACUCGAGGGCGUGAAGCUCUUGAGUGGAAAGAUGGCGCAAGCUAUCGCCGAUGGAUGAGUCUGCGUCCCAUUAGUUAGUUGGUGAGGUAACGGCUUACCAAGACAAUGAUGGGUACCUGGUCUGAGAGGAUGAUCAGGCACACUGGAACUGAAACACGGUCCAGACUCCUACGGGAGGCAGCAGUAGGGAAUAUUGCGCAAUGGACGAAAGUCUGACGCAGCCACGCCGCGUGAGUGAGGAAGGCCUUCGGGUUGUAAAGCUCUGUCGCCUGGGAAAAACGGCUAUUGGGGGAAAGUUCCAGUAGCGUGAUGGUACCAGGAGAGGAAGCACCGGCAAACUCUGUGCCAGCAGCCGCGGUAAUACAGAGGGUGCAAGCGUUGUUCGGAAUUACUGGGCUUAAAGCGUGCGUAGUCGGUAUUGAGAGUCGCGGGUGAAAUCCCAGGGCUUAACCCUGGAACUGCCU
rnacentral:rRNA from 1 species